GGAUAUUGAAGUUUGACUAAAGUCAACCUGUCGUUGACUGACGGCGUUGAUUGUUAACCGGACUUGACCGGACCUCUUCACUGAAUGAACCUCUCCAUAGUAAAAAGGUUAUCCCUUAGUAAUUUAUUUAAUACUAAAUAGUAAGACCUUAAAUGGAAAUUAAAAAUAUCGUGUUUUAUAACGAUUUUUGGAAGAUGAUUCAUCUCUUCUCUAUUCUUCUCAUGUGUCACCUAGUUUUAAGAUAGGAAGAGAGGAGAGGGAGACAGAGAGCUAGUGAGAAAGAGAGAAAGAAAGAUAGGUAAGUAUUAGUAGAGAUGGAGAAGGAAAUGAAUAGGAGGAGUAGAAAAUUAGAGAAUAAAAUGAUGACAUAAUCAUGGUGAUGAUAAUUGAAAGAAGUUGAGGCGGAUUAGAGAUUAGAGUGAGUAGUUAGUGAUUAAGAGAAACCAUGGUAGAAAUAUUUUAAGAUAGUGUUGUAUGAGGAGUAGAAGAAGGAGUGUUCUUGAUGAUAUAAUUUGGUUAUGAAGGGUUCAUGAGUUUUUAUGAUGGAGAUGAUGGAAAUGAUGAAAACUUGAUAAACAAUCAAGUUAGACUAUAUUAACAACGAUUAUUCGAAGAAUGAACCAGUGGAUCGAAGAAAUGCAAGGUAGGCGUGGCUUGUCAUCAAAUCAGGUGGGAACUCUAUAACCUUCUUGUAAUCAUUAAGUUUAUAUUAUCUGCGAGCAUGCUGAGUCUUUAAUUUCUGUAAGCAUAUUGUUUGUAAUUCAAUGGGUAUGUUGUGUAAUAUGCGUUGGGUGGUUUCCCCGCGAAGAGUGUCUGUGUUUCCCCAUAGCUCUUGGCUAAGUUUAGUAGGGCAAUGCUACGUUGUUUGAAUAUUACCUAGUAGCCCGGCUUUACCCCGGAUAAAUAUUAUUACAUUUUAUUGUCUUAA